GAUGCUGGGGAGGCCACUCAGGGACAAGGCUCCAGGUGGCCCUGCCUGGUCAUAGGAAGUGCUGUACUUUGGAUCAUCAAACUGUCCGCAAAGAGAGAGUGUUUAUGCUUAUACUCCCAAGAAUCAAGUUGGUUCAGAGAAUGAAGUCGGUGUUGGAAAGGGAUAAAACUGAGCACUAAAUAAGCAAGACUUUCCCAGACUCCAAAGGAAUUGUACUAAACCCUGAAUAUCUCCACACAGGUUUCCCUGCUCAGAUUCCCCUGAUCUUCAAUCCUCCUAUGUCUCCUCCUAACAUCUUCUCUUGUGAGACCUCCAAAACUGAAAUCUCCACUUAGCCUUUGGGAAAACCAAACCUCUGUAUACCAAAAGUGACCUCAGUGCCCACCAUCUCCUCUCCAGUUCAUGUUCCAUGUCUAGUUCCCUUAGACCGGUGGAGGGCCUUAAUAAUUGUCCUAGAUAAUCACUGAUGGUCAUUCCUGUGGUUUGAAUGUGUGUCCCCUCCAAAAUUCAUGUUGAAACUUAAUUCCCAACACAAUAGUACUAUUAAGAGUGGAGGCCUUAGGAGUUGAUGAGGUCUGCUUUUAUGAAUGGACUAAUGCCUUAUGAAAGAGCCCAAGGGAACAGGUUAGCCCCUUCCAUCCUGUGAGGAUACAGUGUUCUACCUCUCUAGAGAUACAGCUGCAAGACGCCAUCUUGGAAGCAGAGACCAGGUCUUCACCAGAGAACCAAGCCUGAAAGCAUCUUAUCUUUGGACUUUUUAGCAUGUAGACCUGUGAG
rnacentral:lncRNA from 1 species